rnacentral:misc_RNA from 1 species
UGUUGUGAAAACAGGCAGCGACGCACGGGCAUCAUAUGCAGUGGUUUCACAAUAGAAAACAAUUGAAAGUUUAUGCAUACUCAUCUUGAAACAAUGGCUUUAACCAACAGACCACAGACGGCACGUCAACCACUUGGCAGCACACAGAUUCUCAUCAACAAAGAAAAUCCUGAUGGAGCAUUACUCGCCAAAACAGAACUACAGCGGCCAGCGUCACACAUGGGAACCAGGUCUGCUCUCGGAACAAUUGACAAUAUUGGACACAAAGUCUCAGCUAUAACGAUAGACCCUAGCAAAAAGACCAAUGCAAUCAAAAAGGAAAUCCUACAGCAACAGCAGAUUGUCACCAGACAGAAACUGUGCAAAGCUAAAGCAACCUCCUCCUUAAAAGAUCUUGUGGAAACCGAGACAAAAUCAGAACCUUCAAUAGAAGCUGUGAAAAAUGUUACAAAGACAGAUAUCCUCCUCGGACACCCCGAGUCUAUGGACAUUAGUGAGGAUAAACCUGAGGCAUUUUCUAAGGCUCUACUCAAAGUGGAAGAUAUUGACGAAAAUGACAAAGACAAUCCCCAACUUGUCAGUGAAUAUGUCAACGAUAUUUAUCAGUAUAUGAAAGAAUUAGAGAAAAAGUAUCCAGUGAAAUCAAAAUUCCUAGAAGGAUAUGAAAUAACUGGAAAAAUGCGAGCUAUUUUGAUUGACUGGUUGUGCCAAGUUCAUCACAGAUUUCACCUGUUACAAGAAACUCUCUACCUAACUGUUUCGAUCAUUGAUCGUUUUCUUCAGAUGUACCCAGUGCCUCGUAACAAGCUCCAGUUGGUCGGGGUGACAGCCAUGCUUAUUGCUUCCAAAUAUGAAGAAAUCUGUGUUUACACUUCCUCAGACGCAACUCAAAAGCUGGAGGGGUUGAUGCCAGCAAGCACACGAUGGCCAAGUAUUUGAUGGAACUGACAAUCAUCGAGUACGAUAUGGUGCAAUAUUACCCCUCAGAAAUAGCAGCUGCUGCCCUUUGUCUUUCAAUGAAGUUAUUAGACGGAACAAAAUGGACGGACACAUUAGAGCACUACAGUUCCUACUCGGAGGAGGACUUGUCCCCGCUAAUGAAAAAGUUGUGUAGUCUAGUCAUCAAAGCAGAGACGUACAAAUUGACAGCUGUUCGAACAAAAUAUGCCUCUUCAAAGUUUAUGAAAAUCAGCUCUUGUUCGGAACUGAAAGGACAGGUGGUGAAAGAACUGGCAUCUCAGAAUGAUCUAUGAACAAGUCGUAGAGGUUUUAAUCAACAGGCUGUGAUUUGUGUGUUGUCAUGGUGAUUGAAGUGGAACUGUUGUGGAGCAGUGGAUGAAAUCUGUGUGUGAUCCCCUCAGUGGUGGAUAAAUCUAAAUGUGUCAUUAUGUGUCGCUCCAUAUGGAGUGCUGUGUAUGCAAAUAUCAUUGUUCAUAUCAUAUCAGGAUCUUUUAUCUGAAACCCCUUUUUAUAUCAGAAGUUUUUUUUUAUUUUUUGAGACCCAUUUCUUUUUAUCAUUAUCUUGAAGCAUACAAGUUCAGUUGAUACUUGGAAACAUUUUUUUCAUUUCUUUUUUCAUUUCAACUUUUGAUUUCUGCAUUUGAAAUUUUCGCUGUAAAAAGAUCUCUGUACUUCAUCAUGUUAGACUGUUCCAUAGACUGUAACCAUUCCUCCAUUAAUUUAUUAAGAGAGCAUGAAUGAAUGAUGUAUGAAAGAAUAGUUAACUCAGAAAUCAUGAUAUUAAUGUUUACAAAACAAGGGAUAACAUUUAUUUUUCACAUGACUUCAUUCUUUUCUUUUUUUUUAUUUUACACCUGACCGAGUUUCCCAUUCCCUUGUUUUGUCAACAGAAAAAUGC